rnacentral:rRNA from 1 species
GAUGAACGCUGGCGGUGUGCCUAAUACAUGCAAGUCGAACGGGAUCUUCGGAUCUAGUGGCGAACGGGUGAGUAACACGUUGGUACCUACCCCGAAGUGGGGAAUAACUGCCCGAAAGGGUGGCUAAUACCGCAUAAUACCGCAAGGUUAAAGCAGUAAUGCGCUUCGGGAGGGGCCUGCGUCCCAUUAGCUAGUUGGUAGGGUAAUGGCCUACCAAGGCGACGAUGGGUAGCUGGAUCGAGAGGUUGACCAGCCACACUGGGACUGAGAUACGGCCCAGACUCCUACGGGAGGCAGCAGUAAGGAAUCUUCCACAAUGGACGAAAGUCUGAUGGAGCAACACCGCGUGCAGG